ACAGCAGUCGCCGCGGGAAUACGUAGGGUGCAAGCGUUAAUCGGAAUUACUGGGCGUAAAGCGUGCGCAGGCGGUUAUAUAAGUCAGAUGUGAAAUCCCCGGGCUCAACCCUGGAACUGCCUUUAAUACUGGGUAUCUUGAGUUCGAGAGAGGUAAGUGGAAUUCCGAGUGUAGAGGUGAAAUUCGUAGAUAUUAGGAAGAACACCAGUGGCGAAGGCGACUUUCUGGACGAAAACUGACGCUGAGGCGCGAAAGCCAGGGGAGCGAACGGGAUUAGAUACCCCUGUAGUCCCUGUCUCUUAUAC
rnacentral:rRNA from 1 species